rnacentral:rRNA from 1 species
CUUAGUGGCGGACGGGUGAGUAAUGCUUAGGAAUCUGCCUAGUAGUGGGGGAUAACUUGGGGAAACCCAAGCUAAUACCGCAUACGACCUACGGGUGAAAGGGGGCUUUUAGCUCUCGCUAUUAGAUGAGCCUAAGUCGGAUUAGCUGGUUGGUGGGGUAAAGGCCUACCAAGGCGACGAUCUGUAGCUGGUCUGAGAGGAUGAUCAGCCACACUGGGACUGAGACACGGCCCAG